rnacentral:rRNA from 1 species
CUAGUUGUAUUAUUAGUUAAUGCAAGAUCGACUACGUCGACUAAAGUUCUAGGUAGAAUAAUGAUGAUGACAAUUUUUUACCUAUAUGUCUUGACCAAGUCUCGUGCCAGCAGUCGCGGUAAUACGUGGAAGACUAGUGUUAUUCAUCUUUAUUAGGUUUAAAGGGUACCUAGACGGUAUUUCUAGCCCAAAAUAGGGUACGGAUUUACUAGAGUUUUAUGUGAGGAGGGGAGUACUCGUGGAGUAGAGAUGAAAUUUUGUUAUACUAUGAGGUAACUGGUGGCGGCGAAAGCAACCUUCUAUGUAUAAACUGACGUUGAGGGACGAAGGCUUGGGUAGCAAAUAGGAUUAGAUACCCUAGUAGUCCAAGCAGACAAUUCUGAAUGCCAUAGAUUAGAUUUUUUUUGAUCUAUAAAUGAAAGUGUAAGCAUUCCACCUUAGGAGUAAUGUGGCAACACAGGAACUGAAAUCAUUAGACCGUUUCUGAAACCAGUAGUGAAGUAUGUUAUUUAAUUUGAUGGUCCACAAAAAACCUUACCACAACUUGAAUAUUUUUUAAUUAAUACAAGCGUUGCACGGCUGUCUUCAGUUAAUGUCGUGAGAUUUUGGUUAACUCCAUUAAUUAACGUAAACCCUUACUUUAUUUAUUUUUUUUAUAAAGUA